rnacentral:rRNA from 1 species
UAGGGAAUAUUGCGCAAUGGGCGAAAGCCUGACGCAGCGAUACCGCGUGGGUGAGGAAGGUCUUCGGAUUGUAAAGCCCUGUCAAAGUGGAAAAAUGGCAUGAGGUCUAAUAGGCCUUAUGUUUGAUGGUACACUGAGAGGAAGCACCGGCAAACUUCGUGCCAGCAGCCGCGGUAAUACGAAGGGUGCAAGCGUUGUUCGGAUUUACUGGGCGUAAAGCGCGCGCAGGCGGAUUUGUAAGUCAGAUGUGAAAUCUCGGGGCUCAACCCCGAAACUGCGUCUGAAACUGCGAAUCUAGAAUACCAGAGAGGGAAGGGGAAUUUCACAUGUAGGGGUAAAAUCCGUAGAGAUGUGAAGGAAUACCAGAGGCGAAGGCGCCUUCCUAGAUGGAGAUUGACGCUGAGGCGCGAAAGCGUGGGGAGCAAACAGG